CAGGAAGUGAUCAUUA
rnacentral:rRNA from 1 species